rnacentral:rRNA from 1 species
AUGAGCUGGAAUGUUAGAGGCCUAAACGCCCCAGCCAAAAGAUCGGCAGUUAGAGAAGUGGCAGAGGCCCAUCGAACAACAAUUCUAUGCCUCCAGGAGACGAAGCUGGAAACGUGGACACGCGAGUAUGUGCGUGACAUUAGCGGGUUGGCCCUGGAAGGCUGUGCAGUCUUGCCCGCCAUUGGGACAAGGGGAGGAGCAGCGAUCCUAUGGAAUAAGAAUGUCGCCCGAUUGGAAACUCAUGCAAUCGGCUGCUUCUCGAUCACAGCAAAGGUGACAACAACACAGGGCGACAGCAGCUUCUGGUUAACCACAGUGUAUGGGCCAACUGACGAUGCAAGGAAGGACGAUUUCCUGGCAGAGAUGAUUCAUGCAGCCCCGCCAGAGGGAGAGCCAUGGCUGAUCAACGGCAACUUCAACGUCAUCUACGAGGCUAGGGACAAGAAUAACCCGAACCUGAAUCGAAGGCUGAUGGGCAGAUUCAGAAUGGCACUCGAGAGAGCGCACAUCAGAGAAAUCAAAUGCAAGAACCGGAGAUUUACUUGGACUAGCGAGCGUCACGAUCCCACCAUGGUCAGCAUCGACAAGGUCUUCUGCAACACGGAGUGGGAGGCCAUGUUUCCAGCACAUAUGCUUCUUGCCGCCUCAACUGCAUGCUCCGACCAAUGCCCCCUUGUCUUGGCCAGCUCCACUGCACCGCGCAAAAGGCCGACUUUCAAGUUUGAAUCUUUCUGGCCCAGAUUCCCGCGUUUCCAGGAAACAGUUCAACGUGCCUAG